CGUAAAAGGUCGAUUAGAGGUUGUGGUCUUGACCGUGGCUUCUGGAGCUAACGCGUUAAAUCGACCGCCUGGGGAGUACGGCCGCAAGGUUAAAACUCAAAUGAAUUGACGGGGGCCCGCACAAGCGGUGGAGCAUGUGGUUUAAUUCGAUGCAACGCGAAGAACCUUACCUACUCUUGACAUCCAGCGAAUCCUUUAGAGAUAGAGGAGUGCCUUCGGGAACGCUGAGACAGGUGCUGCAUGGCUGUCGUCAGCUCGUGUUGUGAAAUGUUGGGUUAAGUCCCGCAACGAGCGCAACCCUUAUCCUUUGUUGCCAGCACGUAAUGGUGGGAACUCAAAGGAGACUGCCGGUGAUAAACCGGAGGAAGGUGGGGAUGACGUCAAGUCAUCAUGGCCCUUACGAGUAGGGCUACACACGUGCUACAAUGGCAGAUACAAAGAGAAGCGACCUCGCGAGAGCAAGCGGAACUCAUAAAGUCUGUCGUAGUCCGGAUUGGAGUCUGCAACUCGACUCCAUGAAGUCGGAAUCGCUAGUAAUCGUAGAUCAGAAUGCUACGGUGAAUACGUUCCCGGGCCUUGUACACACCGCCCGUCACACCAUGGGAGUGGGUUGCAAAAGAAGUAGGUAGCUUAACCUUCGGGAGGGCGCUUACCACUUUGUGAUUCAUGACUGGGGUGAAGUCUACGGGGGACCCCCCCCAAAAAAUGGGGCCCCCCCCCGCGGUUUUCCGGGACUAAACCCCCCGUUUUCUGGCCCGGGGGCCCCCCCCUUCCCCGGGGGGGUUCUCCCUGCAAUACCUUGCUCCGAUUUUUCCGGCUCGUCCCCCGGGAAAAUUCACGCCCCCCCUGAAAAAAAAACUCUGUGCCAAGCCACGUUUUUGAGAGGCCCACUCCCCCAGCUUUAAGUCUCAGGGGGUCUUUCCCCCCCCAGAAAAUUAAAUCGAACCCCCCGGGGGGGGGCGCUUUUUUCCCCCCCCGGUAUUUUUCCAGAAUAAAGCGCGUGGGCCCCCCCCCCCGUUUUUUACCGGGGGGGGUGCGCGGGCGACCGCGAUGUUUUCCCCCGGGGGGUCUUUUUUUUUCGCGCGGGGGAAAACCCCCCACAUUAUGGUAGUGGGGGGGGUUUACAACCCCUUUUAAAUCCCCCCUCUCCCCCCGCCCCGCGCGAAAAAAAGAGGUUUUUUUUUUUACACCCCCCCCCCAGGAGGGGGGCUUUUUUUUUUUUUUAAACACCACCGCGGGGGCGCGUAGGGGGGUCCUCGGCACCACCGAGGGGGCGUUGUCGGGCGGCCCCCCCAUGGUGGGGGGGGAAAAAAAAAAUUACCCCCCCCCCCCCCCGGCGGUCGGUGCCCCCCCCCCCCCCCCCCCCAGGAAGAAAGAAAAAGGUGGGCGGGGGGGGCGGUCGGUGGCUGCCUGGCCCUCCCCCCCCCCCCCCCCGCCCGCCGGGAGGGGGGGGGGGGUGGGGAGGGCCCCCCUUUUCCCCCCCCCCCCCCUUUCCUUUACCAAAGGGAAAAGCCCAAAACCCAGGCCAAAGAAGGGAGGAAAUUGAAGGGGGUCCCCGGCCCCGGCCCGGCCGGAGGGGGGGGUGGGAAAGGGGGGGGCCCCGUACCCCUAACCCCCCCCCCCCCCCCCCCCCCUACCCCUCCCGCCAAGGGCCAAUUACCGGGACCCGCAACCCCGGGGGGGGGGGGGGUAGGGGUUGGGCCGCACCCCCUUGCCCCAAACGGGAAGGGCUAGGGGGGGGGCGGGGGGGAAGGCCAGGGCCAGGGGGCACAACGCCCCCCCGGGGCCGGCUUCGGGCCGGGCCGGGGCCGGGCCCGAGCAAACCGUAACAUGAAAUGGGAGGGGUCGGUGUCGGGAUCCGUUAAGGGGGGCCGGGUCCCCCCCGGCCCUUCCCCCGUGUUUCCGCGGUCAAACCCCCCCCCUCCCCCG
rnacentral:rRNA from 1 species